rnacentral:lncRNA from 1 species
CGAGCUAAUACGCAGUCAAUUUGAUUUUAUUCAUUAAGAUAAUAAAAGGAUUGAGCAACAAGCACAGCCUAUAAAAGCUCUCUCUAUAUUGCAUGUACAAGAAAUUUGCAUUCAGGUAUCGUAGAUCAAAUUUAUUCGUUCAUUGUGUGUUAAUAUGAGUUUUUUGAUUGAGUUAAGCCUUCCAAUUGAUAUUUUAUAGUGUGUUUUUCUAUGUUGUGAAGUUAUACUAUUGUUUCAGAAAAGGGAGAAGGUGUGGUACCAUUAAAACGUUUAAUCCCGCUGCAAAUGUUUGCACCUGUCCUAAGUCAGGAGUCUGAUGUACAGUAAUUGUCGUUUGAUGAUGUAGUUUAUACGUGUUUCUCGUUUCUCGUUUUUAUAUAGAUUAGACCGUUGUUUUUUUCCGUUUGAAUGGUUUUACAUAACUAAUCUUUGCGGCCCUCUAUAGCUUGCUGUUCGGUGUGAGCCUAGGCUCCGUGUUGAAGGCCAUACCUUGACCUAUAAUGGUUUACUUUUAUAAAUUGUUAUUUGGAUUGAGAGCUGUCUCAUUGGCACUCAUACCACAUAUUCCUAUAUCUAUAUACAAGGUAUAAUUCAAUUAUUAACAACUGUAUAAUAUAAUGUUGUGGAACAUGCAUGGUACUUUUGAGCAUAUACUAGCAAAUAUAUGUUUACAGUGUUACUUACUAAAUGUAAAGUUUAUUUUUAUACAUGUAUAGGCAAUUAAUCAUCAUUUGUUCAAGUACCUUGAAAC